GACAUUCAAAAGCCAGGUCUCUCUCCUUCACACGUUGUCAAAAGAGGAGUAUACUGUCAUUGUUUGGUGGUAAAGAGUUGGGCAUAAGACGACUCCUCUACAAUAGGACGUGUUCCAUGACAGCAUGCCCCUCCAGGACUCAUCAUGUGCUCUGGUGAAGAGGAAAUACCUGGGACAACAGUCACACCUGGACGGAGACAUCCUUCCCGACCCCCCAAAAACAUGGCCUGAAUCCCCACUCAUAAAAGCACAUGAUUUUGCUUCGUCAAUGUCCCAGACUCAGGCAGAGAGAAUGAGAUCAGUUUUCAUCAACGUCUCCAAGAUCCCCCUGCUCCUCCUCUUCCUGUACAUGUUCGUCUGCUCGUUGGAUGUCCUGAGUUCUGCCUUCCAGUUAGCAGGAGGUAUCCUGUAAUCCUGUAAUCCUGUAAUGUCCUGUAAUCUGGACCCUUUCUUUCUAAAACUAUCUGCUGAAAUUGUUGCCACCCCUAUUACUAGCC